ensembl:lncRNA
GACGGAUUGGUUCCACAUUUACAUUUGGUUAAUGGAUAAUUGAGCAAGGUAAAGCAUGAUGCAUGUUGUCCUUGCUGCCAUACGUAUCCCACGCUGAUUAACUCCAGCGCAAGGAGAGACGGAGACUCCACACGGGCAUCUGGGUCGUGGGCGGUCGGUCCUUCAGUGAACAGGCACGGCUCCUCCUGACCUUGUGAUCUCCAGCUCCCAAAGCGUACCCGACUGUCAUAUGAAUCUGUUUUGCCCAAAGGAAACGAAAAAAACGUCUUUUGUAUGACGCAAGAAAAGAUGACAAUAAAAACGUAUAGUGGCUCUUCAAGGAGGAAUCUAAGCUUCUCAGAAAAAUCGAAUGCAUCAAAGUCAAAGUGUUUUCCUGGUGCAAGUCUCCAUAUGCUCUGCCAGGCACUCUGCUACAGUACUCUGAGAGACUCAUCCCUCAACAUCCACUGGGAAACUUGUGCUCGGCCUUAUUUCCCUACAUUGGUCAUAUCCCUUUUUCGUACACUCCCAACAGCAAAGAGCAAUCAGAUUUAUUGUAUUUUUAUCAUCUCAAGUUUACAGAGUAAAGCUGUAUUUCACCUUUUUUUAAAUUGUGCAUCGGAUAUUUGCAUUCAUACUUUUUGGAAGUUGAUGGAGGAAACUGAAAACAACAACUUUUAGAUAUAUUAAGGUUGCACCUGUAUUACAUGUGUUUAUUGAAACCCAAAGUAAAUAAUUUGAUAAUACACACACUUAUGCGAUCAUUAUAUAUAGUGAUGAAUUAUUGAAGAAAACACCACUUAUGUUGGAUCCAAACAGAUAAGAAACAUUUGACUCUGCAUGUGUUAUGUAAUACCAGAAAAAGAAGGUCUUCAUGAAUAAAAGGUUUGAAUUAUUAUUCGUUCACCCCACCAUAGCUUUUCAACAUGCAAAGGUCAUUUCAUUUGUAUUUGUUGCUCUGGAGCAAAAGAAACAAAAAACACACCAACUUUGGAAAUUUUGGAGUUAAAUAUUAAAGCUUAUUUUUCCAACAUCAUCAGUGUGCUCAGUCACUUGGCUGAAGUAUUACAAGACGUGGAUUACCCUCAACGCUAAACAGAGAGUGUGUCCUUCCCGUGUUUUGCAUUUUGUCCGACUAAGGUGUGUGUCCCUCUGACCGAGGCAGGUUUAAGGGACUGUUCUACAUUUUAUAAAUGAAAUCCAUCAAUAAGUUACAACUUCAGAGCAAAGUUGUGAGGCUGAGAUCUGUAACGAUUUUUAGAUUUGUAGAAUGUAACUUAGUGCAUUUACUACUGUACUUAAGAACAAGUUUGAGGUACUUGUCACCUACUCUACUACCUACUUAUACACACUCACACCACGUUUGAAGAGAAAACAAAACUUGUGUAGAUGAACAUUGGGGUUGUCACUGCUCUCAGAGUCCUUCAGGAAUACGUCAACAAUCCUUGGAUUUUAUUUUUAUUUUUUUAUUCAAGAUCGAUGAGGUGUUACUUGUGAAGCUUUUGCCAAGGCUUGAAAAGGCGCUUUGAUUAACAUACGUACAAAAAAGACCUCUUGAAACCCAUUUCCCCAUGUAGGCAAACAGUCUUCUUAGCAUCCGGCAGCGGGAGGCGCUGCGUUUAUUUCUCUUGUAUUUGAUCGGCUCGGGGGGGCCGAGACCCGUAUCCGAGCAGCUUUGUCAAACGGCUGACCUCCCUCCACUUUUCAUUCCAGCCCACAGUUUCUGCCUCCUGCCGUCAGCGUACUUUACCGCCACGGCCAGGAGUCCCUCGAAACCAGUUAACCCUCCAAAGAUGCAAGAGAAACAGGAGAGAGCAGCAGGCGGAUAAAAGUCGCGGUCAUCAACUUCAUUUGGAGACCUUUUACUCAGCCGUUGGACAAAGGCUGGACGGAGGGACAGUAAAUUCAC